rnacentral:lncRNA from 1 species
GGGUUUUCUCUUCGCGUGUGUGCGGAGACGAGAGAUCGAAGAGAUAAAGACAGAAGACAAAGAGAUAGGAAGAAAGACAGCUGGGCCCGGGGGACCACUGCCACCAAAGCGCGGAGACAGACAGGUAGUGGCCCCGAGUGCCUGGAGGCGCUGCUAUUUAUUGUAGUCAAGGCAAGGGGGCAGGGUAAGGAGUGCCAGUCAUCUCCAAUGAUCGAUAGGUCACGCGAGUCACGUGUCCACUGGACAGGGGGCCUUUCCCUUUGUGGUAGCCGAGGUGGAGAGGGAGGACAGCAAACGUCAGCGUUUCUUCUAUGCACUUAUCAGAAAGAUCGAAGACUGUGGUACUCCUACUAGUUCUGCUACUGCUGUCUUCUAAGAACUUAAAAGGAGGAGCCAGGUGUACAGGCUGAACAUGAAAGUGAACAAGGAGCGUGACCACUGAAGCACAGCAUCACAGGGAGACAGACGUUGGAGCCUCCGGAUGACUGCGGGCCGGCCUGGCUAAUGUCAGACCUCCCACAAGAGGUGGUGGAGCGGAGCGUUCUCUGUCUCCCCUGGAGAGAGGGAGAUUCCCUUUCCGGGUCUGCUAAGUAACGGGUGCCUUCCCAGGCACUGGGGCCACCGCUAGACCAAGGCCUGCUAAGUAACCAGGGCCUUCCCAGGCACUGGCAUUACCGCUAGGCCAAGGAGCCCUCCAGCGGCCCUUCUCUGGGCGUGAAUGAGGGCUCACACUCUCGUCUUCUGGUCACCUCUCACUGUGGCCCUUCAGCUCCUAACUCUGUGUGGCCUGGUUUCCCCCAAGGUAAUCAUAAUAGAACAGAGAUCAUUAUGGUAAUAGAACAAAGAGUGAUGCUACAAACUAAUGAUUAAUAAUAGUCAGAUAUAAUCCUAUCCGUUUCCUAUCUCUAGUAAAACUUUUCUUAUUCUAAUUAUUUUCUUCGCUGUACUGGAACAGCUUGUGCCUUCAGGCUCUUGCCUGGGCACCUGGGUGGCUUGCGGCCCACAAGAUAAGAUACAUUGCGUUGAACUAUAAUUUAUGUUGAUUGCUGAAUGAUUUAGGGCGGGGGGUUGGGCACCCCCUGAAAUUCUGCCCUGGAGGAGUGGCCUCACCCUAACCCUGGCCGUGGCUAAUAAUAAGGCCCACCUCUUAGGGCCGUGGAGUGAAAUAAGUUUUCCAGGUAAUGCGCAGUAGAGCCCUCAGCCCUCCGCUGAAGUUGCGUUAGGAAGGAGGAAGGGAGAGGUAAAUGCUGAGCCCGCAGGCGGCAGUCUGUGCCUCGGAGAGAAACUUUAUCCCAACCUUGCUGGGGGCCUUGACGCCCACCUUGCCCCAAGAGCACCCCGGCAGCCACCCCUGCCCUCUGGGGUCCUGCCACCCCGAGCCCGACCUUCCCCUUUUUCCCCCGCGCCGGGCCAAUAGCCUCCUAACUGCGUCGUGCUCAUCACCUUUGCGUCGUUUCUUCGCUCCACAAACGUUUACUGAGCGCCUUCCACACGCCAGGCGCCAGACUCGCGCGGGGAAACAGGGAUAAGCACUGAGGAGGGGUCCCAGCCCUCAGCGAUGGGAUUUCAGAGCGGGAGAUAAAGGGUUGCCCAGAAGGGUGGUGAGUGGAAUGGCUGAUAUAAACAACGGGGGCGCGAUGAAAUACACAGGAGGGCUGCUAGUCACAUAUGGGGCGGGUGCCGAGGGCCCUUGACUAAGGGAGGCUUCCUGCACGGGUGACACCCAAGCGGAGUCCUGACGACCUGCGUCAGAAGUAGCCAGGCGAGGAGGAGGGGAAAGGAAUCCACGUCCCGAGCAGAGAGGCAGCGUUCCCUACACAGCACAGGACACGGUCCGCGCACAGAAGCCGCAGGAGACGCAGGCACAGGGGCUGGGGAGAAUCCUUGCUGGGCCCUCGCCGCCUCCCUCUGCCGGGUGUCUGGUGCCAGCCUCCUGCCUGGCAGAGGAACUCCAGCCCCUGCUCCCGGAAGCCCCUCCAGGCCUUCGGCUUCCCUGACUGGGCAUGGGCCCCUCGUCCCCUCGUCCCCUCGGGUACGGGGCCGGUCUCCCCGCCCGCGGGCGGCGAAGUAAAGGCCCAGCGCAGCCCGCGCUCCUGCCCUGGGGCCUCGUCUUUCUCCAGGAAAACGUGGACCGCUCUCCGCCGACAGGUCUCUUCCACAGACCCCUGUCGCCUUCGCCCCCGGUCUCUUCCGGUUCUGUCUUUUCGCUGGCUCGAUACGAACAAGGAAGUCGCCCCCAGCGGAGCCCCGGCUCCCCCAGGCAGAGGCGGCCCCGGGGGCGGAGUCAACGGCGGAGGCCACGCCCUCUGUGAAAGGGCGGGGCAUGCAAAUUCGAAAUGAAAGCCCGGGAACGCCGGAAGAAGCACGGGUGUAAGAUUUCCCUUUUCAAAGGCGGAGAAUAAGAAAUCAGCCCGAGAGUGUAAGGGCGUCAAUAGCGCUGUGGACGAGACAGAGGGAAUGGGGCAAGGAGCGAGGCUGGGGCUCUCACCGCGACUUGAAUGUGGAUGAGAGUGGGACGGUGACGGCGGGCGCGAAGGCGAGCGCAUCGCUUCUCGGCCUUUUGGCUAAGAUCAAGUGUAGUAUCUGUUCUUAUCAGUUUAAUAUCUGAUACGUCCUCUAUCCGAGGACAAUAUAUUAAAUGGAUUUUUGGAGCAGGGAGAUGGAAUAGGAGCUUGCUCCGUCCACUCCACGCAUCGACCUGGUAUUGCAGUACCUCCAGGAACGGUGCACCCCCUCCGGGGAUACAACGUGUUUCCUAAAAGUAGAGGGAGGUAAGAGACGGUAGCACCUGCGGGGCGGCUUGCACGCCGAGUGCCUGUGACGCGCCGGCUUGACUUAACUGCUUCCCUGAAGUACCUUGAGGUUCCUGAUGUGCGGGCGGUAGACGGUAGGCUUAUGCGGCA